rnacentral:rRNA from 1 species
GCUUGCUCUGUGGGAUCAGUGGCGAACGGGUGAGUAACACGUGAGCAACCUGCCCCUGACUCUGGGAUAAGCGCUGGAAACGGCGUCUAAUACUGGAUACGAACCACGAAGGCAUCUUCAGUGGUUGGAAAGAAUUUCGGUUGGGGAUGGGCUCGCGGCCUAUCAGCUUGUUGGUGAGGUAAUGGCUCACCAAGGCGUCGACGGGUAGCCGGCCUGAGAGGGUGACCGGCCACACUGGGACUGAGACACGGCCCAGACUCCUACGGGAGGCAGCAGUGGGGAAUAUUGCACAAUGGGCGCAAGCCUGAUGCAGCAACGCCGCGUGAGGGAUGACGGCCUUCGGGUUGUAAACCUCUUUUAGCAGGGAAGAAGCGAAAGUGACGGUACCUGCAGAAAAAGCGCCGGCUAACUACGUGCCAGCAGCCGCGGUAAUACGUAGGGCGCAAGCGUUAUCCGGAAUUAUUGGGCGUAAAGAGCUCGUAGGCGGUUUGUCGCGUCUGCUGUGAAAUCCCGAGGCUCAACCUCGGGCCUGCAGUGGGUACGGGCAGACUAGAGUGCGGUAGGGGAGAUUGGAAUUCCUGGUGUAGCGGUGGAAUGCGCAGAUAUCAGGAGGAACACCGAUGGCGAAGGCAGAUCUCUGGGCCGUAACUGACGCUGAGGAGCGAAAGGGUGGGGAGCAAACAGGCUUAGAUACCCUGGUAGUCCACCCCGUAAACGUUGGGAACUAGUUGUGGGGUCCAUUCCACGGAUUCCGUGACGCAGCUAACGCA